GGGAGUAUGGGACGCAAGGCUGAAACUUAAAGGAAUUGACGGAAGGGCACCACCAGGAGUGGAGCCUGCGGCUUAAUUUGACUCAACACGGGGAAACUCACCAGGUCCAGACAUAGUAAGGAUUGACAGAUUGAAAGCUCUUUCUAGAUUCUAUGGGUGGUGCAAUGAUGUGCGAUGCUGUUCGUGGAGUGAUUUGUCUGGUUAAUUCCGAUAACGAACGAGACCUUAUUCUGCUAAUUAGACAGGCUAACUCUUUCGGGUUGGUUUAUAUUUAAUAUUUAACUGGCUUCUUACAGAGACUAUCGGCUUCAAGCCGAAGGAAGUUUGAGAAAAUAACAGGUCUGUGAUGC
rnacentral:rRNA from 2 species